AUGAGACUGUCCAACCAUCUCACUGUCGUCCCCUUCUCCUCUUGUCUUCACACUUUCCCAGCAUCAAGGUCUUUUCCAAGGAGUCUUCUCAUGAGAUGGUCAAAGUACUGGAGCCUCGGCUUCAGGAUCUAUCCUUCCAGUGAGCACUCAGGUUUGAUUUCCUUUAGAAUUGAUAGGUUUGUUCUCCUUGCAGUCCAGGGAACUCUCAAGAGCCUCCUCCAGCACCACAAUUCAAAGGCAUCAAUUCUUCGGCGGUCAGCUUUCUUUAUGGUCCAGCUCUCACUUCCAUAUAUCACUACAGCUUUGACUAUUUGGACUUUUGUUGGCAAGGUGAUGUCUCUGCUUUUUAAGAUGCUGUCAAGGUUUGUCAUAGCUUUCCUCCCAAGAAGCAGGCGUCUUUUAAUUUCAUGGAUGCUGUCUCCAUCUGCAAUUAUCAUGGAGCCCAAGAAAAUAAAAUCUGUCACUGCCUCCAUAUCUUCCCCUUCUAUUUGCCAGGAGGUGAUGGGACCAGUGGCCAUGAUCUUAGUUUUUUUGAUGUUGAGUUUCAGAUCGUUUUUUGCACACUCCUCUUUCACCCUCAUUUCGAGGUUCUUUAAUUCCUCCUCAUUUUCUGCCAUCAAAGUGGUAUCAUCUGCAUAUUGGAGGUUGUUGAUAUUUCUUCCAGCAAUUUUAAUUCCAGCUUGGGAUUCCUCCAGUCCAGCCUUUCGCAUGAUGCAUUCUGCAUAUAAGUUAAAUAAGCUGGGGGACAAUAUACAGCCUUUCAAAUAUUUGAAAGGUUUAUUUAUUUAUUUAUUAUUGGAUUUUUAUCCCGCCCUUCUAGACAGACAUCUACUCAGGGCGGCUCACAGUAUAUUGUGCAUAAACAAGUUAAAAACAAUUAAAAUCUACAAUAAUACUAUAAUCAAGAUGGGAAUAAACAGCAAAAUCAAGAAAAGUAAAAGUCAAGUAAUAGCAGAAGGGAAGGCUUGCCUAAAGAGCCAAGCUUUUAAUUGGCUCUUGAAAACACCAGCGAAGUUGCCAGGCGAAUCUCUGGUUGCAAGCUGUUCCAGAGUCGAGGGGCCACUGCUGAGAAGGCCCAGUUUCUUGUUCUUUCUUUCUGGGCCUCUCUUGGUGUCAGGCCCCUCAGCUGUCUUUCCUGGCUAUGGUGAGUGA
rnacentral:lncRNA from 1 species